CUUGAGGUUUGUUCAAGUAAUCCAAAUCCAUUGUUCUUCAUUUAUAUUGAAAAUCAUUUCUUCCCCAAUUUCUUAUCUUUGAAGUGGUUUGGGUUUUUUUCACAUUGCAAGUUAUCUUUCUUGGGCAAUCUUGGGAGUGUUGUUUUCCUAACAAUUUGGUAUCAGAUCUUCUUUUUAAAUCAGGGUGGUUAAGCUCCGAUUUUUGGUGGGUGGCUUGAACCUUGUUGUGCACACAAGAUGUUUGUGAAAAUUCUCAAGUGAACUUUGUUGGUUUAUUUCCGAUAAACAAGUAGAUAAAUCAUGUCUACUAGAGGAACGGUGAAGAUUGGGAAGUAUGAGAUAGAGAAAUUCAAUGGGAAGAAUGACUUCUCAUAUUGGAGAAUGCAAAUGAAAAAUUUGUUAAUUUAUCAAAAGUUGCACAAGGCAUUGGCGGGAAAGGAGAAGAAGCACAUAGAUAUGUCUGACGAGGAUUGGGAAGAGUUAGAUCUUGAGGCACGAGAGUCUAUCAUUUUAUGCCUUAAAAGAGAUGUUGCUUUCUUGGUUGAUGGUGAGGAAACGGCGGGGGAGUUGUGGACAAAGUUGGAGGCGAACUUCAUGAUGAAGACUUUAACAAAUCGGAUCUAUUUGAAGUCCAAAUUGUAUACUUACAAGAUGGAUGAAGGUACACCAAUCCGAGAGUACGUCAACAAGUUUGAUAGGUGUAUAUCGGACUUGAAGGACAUUGAUGUGAAAGUAGAUGAUGAGGAUCAAGCACUUCUACUUCUUUCAUUGCUAAAGUCUUACGAGAACCUAGUACAAACAUUGAUGCUUGUGGGUGAUAAACUUGUGAUGGAGGACACUAGAACGUCACUUCUAGCGGAUGAUCUUCGAAAGAUUGCAACUAGUGGCAUGUUUACCAUUGGUAACAAGGAGCAAGCACAAGGAUUGUUUGUAAGAGGUAGAAGCAAUGUGCGACCAAAGGGCAAGGGAGAAAAAUCUAGAUCGAGUUCUAAACCUCUUGCGGAAAGGCCUUGUUUCAAAUGCGGCGAGCUUGGGCAUUUCAAGGCAAAUUGUACUAACAAAAGGAGUUGGAAGAAGAACAUAAGAACAACAACAACGGGAAGAUGCAAGUCAAGCAAGAGGUUAGUUAUGCCUCGGAAGGAGGGGAAAGCGAUGAGUGUUACACCAUCUCUUGUAAUGAAGAAAUAUCCGGUAAGUAGAUUCUUAACUCUGGAUGCUCUUACCAUAUGUGUCCAAAUAGGAAGUGGUUUACUACCUAUAGAAGCACUGAUGGUGGAACCGUGUUGAUGGGUAAUAACCAUUCCUGUAAAACUGUGGGGCUCAGUUCAAUUAGAAUCAAGAUGUUUGAUAGAGUGGUUAGAACUUUGAUGGAUGUUAGACAUGUUCUUGAUUUGCGGAAGAACCUUAUCUCUGUUGGUGCCUUAGACUCCGGUGGUUGCAAGAUUGUAACAUGGAAUGGAGUAGAGAAAGUUGUUCGUGGUUCUUUGAUUGUGAUUAAAGGUAUUCGUGAAGGCAAUCUCUAUGCUGUUCAGGGUACUACAGUUACAGAAGAUGUAGCGGUUGGAACAGUGGAAGUGGUGGAGACCCAUGUGAGUGCACUCGGUUAUGGCAUUGGAGGCUUGGGCAUAUGUCUGAAAAGGGGCUAGAUCUGCUAGUCAAGAAAGGUUUGCUAAAGAACUUGAAGAAGCCUUGCAUGGAUUUCUGCGAGCAUUGCUUGUACGGUAAAGCACACCGAGUUCAGUUCCAGCCAAGCAAACAUAGAAGUAGAUGUAUUCUGGACAAUGUGCACACGGAUGUAUGGGGUCCGACUUCUGUCACUUCCAAAGGCGGUUUCAGGUAUUUUGUCACAUUUGUUGAUGAUUAUUCUAGAUAUGCUUAGAUUUAUUUUUUGAAGCAUAAGAAUGAGGUAUUCGACACUUUCAAGAAGUGGAAAGCAAUGGUUGAAAAUAGAACGGGAAAGAAAGUGAAGACACUACGAUCUGAUAACGAUACUGAGUAUAUAGAUGGUGCUUUCAAGGAGUUCUGUGGUAAGGAAGGCAUUGCGAGACACUGGACAGUUAGGAAUACACCGCAACAGAAUGAGGUCGCAGAAAGACUAAAUCGUACAUUUCAAGAGAAAUCGAUGUGUAUGCGAUCCUAUGCUAGUUUGGGCAGAGAAUGGUGGGCAGAGUCGGUUGAAAAUGCUUGCUACAUAGUGAAUUGAUCUCCACAUUCAAAGUUAGAUGGAGAUGUACCUUACAGGGCAUUGACAGGAGAACAUGCAGAUUAUGAGAAACUCAGAAUAUUCGAAUGCACAGCCUACUAUCACGUCAACGAGGGAAAGCUUGAUGCGAGGGCUAAGAAGGCUAUAUUCUUGGGGUAUGCGGCAGGUGUAAAAGGCUAUCGCCUAUGGUGUGUAGAGGAUUCUAAGUUCAUAAUCAGCAGAGAUGUUACUUUUGAUGAGAACUUCAUGAUAGCUUCAUUGAAAGCUGUAGUGCCUGGUGGUGAUGAUGUUGACUACAAAGUCUCAAGGUGUUGACAUAGAACCUAGAGAUCAACCCGGUUCUAGGCAUGUUCAAGAGAAGCAUCAUGCAGACACUCAAGAUGAGAGUGAUGAUGAGCUUGAACAAGAGGCGAUUCAGCAAGAGAAUGUACAGGCACAGCAACAACAGCAGCUUGCAGAUAACUUGACUUCCUCUAGGCCACGGCGUACUUACAAGCAAGUUCUAAAGUUGGGGUCAGACGAGCCUUUGAGGCACUAUGGGCAGACAAAUUUGAUUGAGUAUGCACUCUCGGUGGAGGAUGAUGAGCCUGCCACUUUCAAAGAAGCUAUUUUAAACAACAAUAGUGAUAGUUGGUUGGCAGCGAUGGAAGAAGAGAUGGAAUCAUUUCACAAGAUCCAAACAUGGGAGGUUGUCCCAUUGCCCAUAGGUAAGAAAGCUAUUGGUUGCAAGUGGUCAUACAAAAAGAAAGAAGAUCCUGCCAAGUUUGGUGGUACAAGAUUCAAAGCAAGGUUAGUGACUAAGGGGUUUGCACAAAGAGAGGGAGUUGACUACAAUGAGAUCUUUUCUCCGGUGGUCAAUCAUACUUCCAUUUGGGUGCUAUUGAAUAUUGUUGCUCAUCAUGAUCUUGAGCUGGAACAACUCGAUGUCAAAACUGCCUUCUUGCACGGGGACUUGGAUGAGGAAAUCUAUAUGCAUCAACCUGAGGGCUACAAGGUUGAGGAUAAGGAACGUCAGGUAUGUCGUUUGAGAAAAUCACUAUAUGGAUUGAAGCAAUCUCCUCGGCAGUGGUACAAGUGAUUUGACUCCUUCAUGCUAAAGCAUGGUUUCUCCAGAAGUGAGUAUGACUGUUGUGUUUAUAUUCGAAAACUUCGGGGAGGUAACUAUAUCUAUCUUCUUUUGUAUGUGGAUGACAUGCUUAUCGCUUCGAAAAGCAAGGUGGAGAUAGAUAGGUUGAAAUCUCAACUUGGUAAAGAGUUUGAGAUGAAGGAUAUGGGGACUGUUAGGAAAACACUGGGUAUAGAGAUUAGAAGAGAGAGGGCGAACUGGCGAAUGUUCUUGAGUCAGAAAGGUUACAUUGAGCGGGUUAUUGCCAGGUUCGGGUUGCAAGGUGCAAAGUCGGUGGUGAAUCCAUUGGCUCCACAUUUCAGGCUCUCUAGUAAACAAUCUCCUACUACAGUGGAAGAAAAGGUACGCAUGGAUCGUAUACCUUAUGCUAGUGCAGUUGGCAGUUUGAUGUAUGCCAUGGUGUGUACACACCCAGAUAUUUCACAGGCGGUUAGUGUGGUCAGUAGAUUCAUGGCGAAUCCGGGGAAGGCACACUGGGAAGCUGUGAAGUGGAUCCUGAGGUACUUAAAAGGUACCGCGGAUAUGGGUUUAUGUUUUGGUGGAGAUGCAUGUCAUAUAAGUAGGUUUGUGGACUCGAAUUAUGUAGGUGAUCUAGAUAGACGACGAUCUACUACUGGAUAUAUGUUUUGCAUACAUGGUGCCCCAGUUAGUUGGCGAUUGAUGUUACAGGCUACAGUGGCUUUUUCUACUACAGAGGCCGAGUAUAUGGCCAUGGCAGAGGGAGUGAAGGAAGUAUUGCGGUUGUGGGGUCUUCUAGAUGAUUUGGGGAUUGAGCAGGAUUGUGUGGACUUGUGGUGUGAUAGCCAGAGUGCGAUUCACUUGGCUAAGAAUCAGGUUCAUCAUGCUCGAACCAAGCAUAUCGACGUCAGGUAUCAUUUUGUGCGUGAUGUCAUAGAGGAAGGUGAUAUUUCUUUCUUGAAGAUACACACAAAUGAGAACCCAGCAGACAUGUUAACCAAAGUGGUAACGGGUAGCAAGUUUCAGCAUUGCUUGGACUUGCUUCACAUUAGUCCGUGUUGAUAUGCCCGAGUGGGCAUGGCCCUUCGGGGCGGGGUUGAAAUGAGGUGAAGAGUAUAUGAAGGUGGAGGUGAACUACGAAGGUUUGAUCCCGAGUUUUGGGUACGUAGGCAACCAUGGUUCGAAUGGUGCAGCCGAGUUUGACGCUUGCUGCUUCUUCUUGUGUUCGUCCAAAGGUCUAUCAAAUGAUGUACGAGGUGGAGAAAGAAAGGAGCAGGGAGGGCAGCAUGGCGCCCAAGAGAAAGAAAGGAGCAGAGAGGCAAGCACCAUGGCGCCCGACUCAGCUAUAUAUAUAGUUGUUUUUUCCCUUCAUUUAAAAAAACCUGAUUUUGAGAGAAAAUAGAGAGAGAGCUUGGAUAGAAUUUAACAAGUAAGAAGUUGUUUUUUUUGGGUAUAAAUUCAAAGCUAUUUUUCUUUUUUGGGGAUUAACUUGAGGCUUAUUCAAGUAAUCUAAAUCCAUUGUUUUUCAUUUAUAUUGAAAAUCAUUU
rnacentral:lncRNA from 1 species